CGUAGGGUGCGAGCGUUAAUCGGAAUUACUGGGCGUAAAGCGUGCGCAGGCGGUUUUGUAAGACAGAUGUGAAAUCCCCGGGCUCAACCUGGGACCUGCAUUUGUGACUGCAAGGCUAGAGUACGGUAGAGGGGGAUGGAAUUCCGCGUGUAGCAGUGAAAUGCGUAGAUAUGCGGAGGAACACCGAUGGCGAAGGCAAUCCCCUGGACCUGUACUGACGCUCAUGCACGAAAGCGUGGGGAGCAAACAGGAUUAGAUACCCUGGUAGUCCACGCCCUAAACGAUGCCAACUGGUUGUUGGGUCUUUACUGACUCAGUAACGAAGCUAACGCGUGAAGUUGACCGCCUGGGGAGUACGGCCGCAAGGUUG
rnacentral:rRNA from 1 species